rfam:Tncultured marine crenarchaeote AD1000-325-A12 genomic sequence.
AUUUCUACGCAAAGAUGCUAUUUGGUGGAUGGAUUGGCUUGAGUGGCUAUGAAGGGCGUGCCAAGCUACGAUAAGCCUCGGGGAGGUGCAUGGGACCUUCGAUCCGAGGAUUCCCGAAUGGGACUUCCUUUUAAAAAUCCUUUGGAUUUUUAAAGUUCCAGAUUUAUUUGGAACGCGAAACCUUUGAAUUGAAACAUCUUAGUAAAAGGGCGAAAAGAAAUCAAUUGAGAUCUCCUUAUUAGCAGCGAGCGAAAAGGAGUUAGUCCAAACCGAAUCUUUAAUGGUAACAUUAGAGAGAUGUGGGGUUUGUUACAAAAGUAUGCUGACCUUUCAAUAUUAGUUGAAGUAGUCUGGAAUGGCUUAAUAUAGAGGGUGAUAUUCCCGUAAACGAAGUAUAUGGGAAGGUUAGUUUUUGUUACCGAGUACCUGGCCUUGACAGUGGCUAGGGAAUAUGGGGGAAAGCAGCCUCCAAGACUAAAUACAACUCAUGACCGAUAGUGAAUAGUAUCGUGAGAGAAAUCUGAAAAGAACCCUGAAAGGGGUGUGAAAAGUGCCUGAAACCAAAUAGUUACAAACGUGUAUGGCUUGAAAGGAACAUUUGUAUUUUGUAUUUAUUCGCAAGAAUAUUUUUGAAAUACGCGUUCUAGAGUUAUACAUUCCGUCUAGAAACACGGACCAGGGAGUUUUUUGUUAUGGCGAGCCUAAAAGUUUUAAGCUUGUAAGCGAAGGGAAACCGACUUUCUGUAUUAUUGAUUAUUUCAAUUUGAGAGAAGAGGUCUGAAAGGGCCUUUAGUCAUAGCGAUAAGACUAGAAACUCCGCGAUCGUGCCUUGGGUAGGAUGAAGCCUGGAGAAAUCUGGGUAGAGGUCCGCAAGGGUCUUGACGUGCAAAUCAGUCCCCUGACCUGAGGCAAGGGGCCAAAAGCCAAUCUAGCGGAGUGAUAGCUAGUUCCCACCGAAGUAGAUCUCAGUCUAGCCCAAGUGGACUUUGUUGGCGUUGUAGAGCACUGAUAGAAUAAGUUUGGGAUCGAAAGAUCCUACUUUUCUUUCAAACUCCGAAGGUGCCAAUAGGUAAGAAGCUUGGAGACGGGUUUAUGUGGGGUAAGCCUCAUAACCGAGAGGGGAGCAACCCAGACUAGAGUUAAGGUCCCCAAAUGUUAACUAAGUGUCAAACGGAAAAGUGUCUUCGAGCGAAGACAGCAGGAAGGUAGGCUUAGAAGCAGCCAUCCUUUAAAGAAUGUGUAACAACUCACCUGUCGAGCUCGUCGGCCUUGAAAAUGGACGGGGCUCAAGUUAACUACCGAUACUUUAGACCACGAAUAAUAUCGUGUGUGGUAGGUGGGCGUAGUGAGCGGGCAGAAGUAGGGUCGUGAGAUCCUGUGGACCGCUUUCUAUUGCAGAUCCUGGUGGUAGUAACAGCGUAGUGAAGUGAGAAUCUUCAUCACCGUAUAAGCAAGGUUUUCCUGGCAACGCGUCGUCGACCAGGAGUUAGCCGGUCCUAAGUGUAGUCCGAAGGGAGUAUCACGAAUAGGGAAACGAGUUAAUAUUCUCGUGCCUUGGAUUAUCUAUUACUUUAUAGUAUACGCUUCGAGAUAUGGUGAGCAGAGCCAUCGCUCUGUUUAAUUAUUCAAGGUUUAGGGAGUGUCGUAAUGACGAGAACUAUUCCGAGAUGAGAAUAGCCAGCCAUUGGGUUGGUUCACUAAAUUCUGGGGGACAAUGAAAAUUAUUAUAAAGUGGAUAUUUUAAGUCCGUACCAAGAUCCGACACUGGUGUCUUUAGGUGAGAAGCCUAAGGUGUGUCGAGUACAAAGUAGACGAGGGAAUUCGGCAAAUUAGUCCUGUACCUUCGGAAGAAAGGAUACCUGCUUUUUUUAUGAGGAAUAGGAAUAGCAGGUCGCAGUGACAAGGGGGUCCCGACUGUUUAAUAAAAACACAGGAGACUGCUAGUCCGCAAGGAUGUGUAUAGUCUUUGAAACUUGGUCAGUGGCGGUACCUAAAACUCAAGUUCAAUUGAGCUAAGGGCCGCUUAACACCGGGAGUAACUCUGACUCUCUUAAGGUAGCCAAAUGCCUUGUCGGGUAAGUUCCGACGUGCAUGAAUAGUUCAACGAGGGCCCUACUGUCCCCGUCUGCAACUCGGUGAACCCACAGGGUGGACGAACAGUCCACCAACUUCCAUCGGGAAGAGAAGUCCCUGUGGAGCUUUACUGCAGCUUGUUGUUGUGAUGCGGUUCUAAUUGCAGAGAGUAACUGGGAGCCGUUAUGCACAUGUUUUCGGGCAUGUGAUAGGCAAAAGUGUAACACCAGUCUCUUAGAGUUGCGUCUCUAACCUCUUUUAGAGGGACAUCGGCAGGUGGGCAGUUCGGCUGGGGCGGCACCCCUUUGAAAAGAUAUCGAAGGGGCUCUAAGGUUGGCUCAGGUGGGUCAGAAAUCCACCUUUGAGGGCAAGGCCAAAAGCCAGCCUGACUGGAUUCUGAACAACAAAGAAUUCAGCUGCGAAAGCAUGACCUAGCGAUCCUUCAAGUCCCCACUGUUGGGGGCUGGAGGUGACAGAAAAGUUACCCCAGGGGUAACAGGCUCGUCGCGGGUGAGAGCUCCAAUCGACCCCGCGGUUUGGUACCUCGAUGUCGGCUCUUCCCAUCCUGGUUCUGCAGCAGGAGCCAAGGGUGGGGCUGCUCGCCCAUUAAAGGGGAACGUGAGCUGGGUUUAGACCGUCGUGAGACAGGUCGGUCUCUAUCUGAUGGAAGCGGUGGUUGUCUGAGGGGAAGCCGCUCUUAGUACGAGAGGAACAGAGUAGCGCGGCCUCUGGUCUACCGGUUGUUCGAUAGAGCAACGCCGGGCAGCUAAGCUGUUGUGGAUAAGAGCUGAAAGCAUCUAAGCUCGAAGCCACUCCUGAGAAAAGACAGCCAUUUGCUUUGAAUUUCCUUCGGGAAAUUUUAGCAAAGAAGAAUCGUUAUAGAAGAUAACGUUGAUGGUUAGGAAGUGUAAGUUGGGAGGCUUCGGCCGACUAAUUUAGCUUGCCUUUUCCAAUAAUUCAACGCGUAUUAUA